AAAAAAUAAAAAUAAAAAUUUAUAUUCCACUAAACUGGAAAAAAAUCUGAAAGAAACAGGAUGAGUUUCUGGAUGUGAAUGACCUGUCAAAGUGAAACCAAGACAGGAAAAAAAAAGAUUUACACAGAUCUGUAGCAACCAGCCAGAUAGAACUAGAAGCAGUAAUUAAAAAUUCCCCAACUAAAAAAAGCCCAGGCCAGAUGGAUUCAGUGCAGGAUUCUACCAGCCUUUCAAAGAACACACAGCAGCGUUCCUCAAACUGUAAUGUAAAAUAUGAAAGAGGGAGCAUUUCUAGAGUCUUCAGCCAGGGUGCCCUGCAAAGCCGCCCUUGUGUCCUCUCCCAACAACUUUGACUCAAGUUCCUCGAGACAGGCUGUUGUCUGACAGAGUCUGUCUAGGACCCAGGAGAGCCACCACAGCCAAGGGAAGACAGGUAAGUUGGAUGCAGCACGUAGCAAUGAAGUUGGAAGUGAAAUGUCCUGGAAGCCAAAGGCACUUAUUUCAGACUCCAGGGAAGCAAGCCGUUGGCAAAUCCGAAAUAUUUAGAAGCUUGGUGUGUCUGCAUGUUGAAAUAUUUAGAAGCUUGGUGUGUCUGCAUGUUGGUGUGUCUACAUGGACUAGAAGGUAGAGAAGGUUCGGGAUGGGCUGAAGUGAGCCCAUCCACAGAGUGCUUCAUGGUAGGGGAGGAGCUGGGUUUUAUCUGCAAACGAAAUGGCAGGAGGAAGAUUCAAGAUGCUCAUGCCUGCUCAGGGCACAGGGCAGGAGAAAGCCAUGUCAAGAUCAAGGUCCCGUACAGUUCACAUGUAUUCAUUCUUCUUUGUCACUUUCCAGAGGGGUUGUGGGUAUUGUGGGUUGCCCUAGUGCUGUUUAUAUUCUGAUGUUAAUUCUACUCCCUCAAGAGGGCCUGCCCCCCCCCCUCCCCCAGGAGGAGUAGAUUACAUAAUGUUGAGCCCAGGUUAAAAAAAGAAAGAAGGAAAGAAAGAAAGAAAGAAAGAAAGAAAGAAAGAAAGAAAGAAAGAAAGAAAGAAAGAAAGGAAGGAAGGAAGGAAGGAAGAAAGGAAGAAAGAAAGGAAGAAACCCAAAGAGACCACCAGGAACCACAACUCUGAUGCAAGC
rnacentral:lncRNA from 1 species